UCAAGGACUAGCGAUCAGGCAAUGUGUAGGACAGACCCUGGAUGGGGGCUUGCUGAGAGAGGACGGUCUUUUUUUUUACCUGCGCCAAAAUUCAAGUCAAGUGAAGGAAGGCUCGGUAGGAGACGGUUGUGCUGAAGCAGUCUCGCUGUGAAGGUACCCACAGUCUCAUCAUUACACUGCACAGGCCUUGGGCAGAUGAUCAACCUAUUUUCUUCCACUGUCAUAGAAUGAAUGAGAAGGUUGUGAAAAGAGUCCUGUGAACAUGCAGCUCCAGUUAAGAGAAUGCUGGGGUCUAUUGCCUUUCUGUGGAGAGUACCAAACAUAAGGCAUGUUUGGAGGUGACUCAAGGGCAAGUAAGGGCCAAACUAUAUGCCAAGAAAAAUAGCAUGCUACAGUCCAUCUGGGAUUAAACCACUUCAAACUGUAGUUCAUUGUGGAAUCGAUGCUCCAAUGCUUCACAGUGGGGUGCUGCGAUUAUCUGCGCCUUCUACACUCCAACCUUCAAAGAUUAGUCCACCAAAACUGAAGAAUCUCUGCUAAAAUGCCCCCAAAAUAGGUGAGAGGGAAUGGAGAGCGAGCUGAGAAAAUGGCGCUAAGGAGGAAGUCUGGGUACUACACAGAGCUCCUGUCAAAACUUGUGAACAUAUACAAGACAGAGGAACCAUAAAGCGCCAACAAUACCACCAGUGCAUUCUUAAAUCAAUAAAGAUCUCAUUGUUUAAACCAUAAGAAUGAUAUGCUUUUAACUUGAAAAUAAAUCUAGC